CAUGCAAGUCGAACGAAGCUUGACGAAUGAUUUCUUCGGAAUGAAAUCUGAUAUGACUGAGUGGCGGACGGGUGAGUAACGCGUGAGCAACCUGCCCUUCGGAACGGGAUAGUGUCUGGAAACGGACAGUAAUACCGUAUAACGUAUUUUUACCGCAUGAUAGAAAUACCAAAACUGAGGUGCCGAAGGAUGGGCUCGCGUCUGAUUAGAUAGUUGGUGGGGUAACGGCCUACCAAGUCGACGAUCAGUAGCCGGACUGAGAGGUUGAACGGCCACAUUGGGACUGAGACACGGCCCAGACUCCUACGGGAGGCAGCAGUGGGGAAUACUGCACAAUGGGGGAAACCCUGAUGCAGCAACGCCGCGUGAAGGAAGACGGUUUUCGGAUUGUAAACUUCUGUUCUUAGUGAAGAAUAAUGACGGUAGCUAAGGAGCAAGCCACGGCUAACUACGUGCCAGCAGCCGCGGUAAUACGUAGGUGGCAAGCGUUGUCCGGAAUUACUGGGUGUAAAGGGAGCGUAGGCGGGAUGCCAAGUCAGCUGUGAAAACUAUGGGCUUAACCUGUAGACUGCAGUUGAAACUGGUAUUCUUGAGUGAAGUAGAGGUUGGCGGAAUUCCGAGUGUAGCGGUGAAAUGCGUAGAUAUUCGGAGGAACACCGGUGGCGAAGGCGGCCAACUGGGCUUUAACUGACGCUGAGGCUCGAAAGUGUGGGGAGCAAACAGGAUUAGAUACCCUGGUAGUCC
rnacentral:rRNA from 1 species